UACGUAGGGUGCAAGCGUUAAUCGGAAUUACUGGGCGUAAAGCGUGCGCAGGCGGCUAUGCAAGACAGAUGUGAAAUCCCCGGGCUCAACCUGGGAACUGCAUUUGUGACUGCAUCGCUAGAGUACGGCAGAGGGGGAUGGAAUUCCGCGUGUAGCAGUGAAAUGCGUAGAUAUGCGGAGGAACACCGAUGGCGAAGGCAAUCCCCUGGGCCUGUACUGACGCUCAUGCACGAAAGCGUGGGGAGCAAACAGG
rnacentral:rRNA from 1 species